GCCUGGGUGGCUCAGUCGGUUGAGCAUCCGGUUUCGGCUCAGGUCAUGAUCUCACGGUUUGUGAGUUCGAGCCCCACAUCAGGCU
rnacentral:tRNA from 1 species